rnacentral:rRNA from 1 species
GAAUCUGGGAUAACAUUUCGAAAGGGGUGCUAAUACCGGAUAAGCCCACGAACUCUUUGGAGUUUGCGGUAAAAGGAGGCCUCUGUAUAUCCUUCUGUUUCAAGAUGAGUCCGCGUACCAUUAGCUAGUUGGCAGGGUAAAGGCCUACCAAGGCGACGAUGGUUAGCUGGUCUGAGAGGAUGAUCAGCCACACUGGAACUGAGACACGGUCCAGACUCCUACGGGAGGCAGCAGUGGGGAAUUUUGCGCAAUGGGGGAAACCCUGACGCAGCAACGCCGCGUGAGUGAUGAAGGCCUUCGGGUCGUAAAGCUCUGUCAGAGG